GACGAACGCUGGCGGCGUGCCUAAUACAUGCAAGUCGAACGAAGCUGUUUUAACUGGUGCUUGCACCGACUUAAACAACUGAGUGGCGAACGGGUGAGUAACACGUGGGUAACCUGCCCCAAAGCGGGGGAUAACAUUUGGAAACAGAUGCUAAUACCGCAUAACCACAGAAACCACAUGGUUUCUGUGUCAAAGAUGGUUUCGGCUAUCACUUUGGGUGGGACCCGCGGCGUAUUAGCUAGUUGGUAAGGUAAUGGCUUACCAAGGCAAUGAUACGUAGCCGAACUGAGAGGUUGAUCGGCCACAUUGGGACUGAGACACGGCCCAAACUCCUACGGGAGGCAGCAGUAGGGAAUCUUCCACAAUGGACGAAAGUCUGAUGGAGCAACGCCGCGUGAGUGAAGAAGGUUUUCGGAUCGUAAAACUCUGUUGUCAGAGAAGAACGUGUGCGAGAGUAACUGUUCGUGCAGUGACGGUAUCUGGCCAGAAAGCCACGGCUAACUACGUGCCAGCCGCCGCCGUAA
rnacentral:rRNA from 1 species